rnacentral:rRNA from 1 species
UUAAAGACAAAAGACCCUAUGAAUUUAAAGAUUAAUUCAAUUAAUUUUGUUAAUUGAAUUAAUCUUGAUUGGGGCGAUCAAAAAAUAUUAAUAACUUUUUUAAAUUAAAAUGAUCUAUUAUUAAUAAACUAAUGAAAUAAAUACUCUAGGGAUAACAGCGUAAUAAUUUUUGAUAGAUCUUAUAGACAAAAUAGUUUGCGACCUCGAUGUUGGAUUAGGAUUCUUUUUUAAUGAAGAUGUUAAAAAAAGAAGUUUGUUCAACUUUUAAAUUCCUACAUGAUCUGAGUUUAAACCGAUGAGAAUCAGGUUGGAUUCUAUCUUAAUAAUUAAUUUUAUUUUAGUUAGUACGAAAGGAAUACUAAAAAUUAAUUGUUAAGAUAAUCAACUUUAUUUGCAUCAAUUUU